AAACAGAAGAGAGACGAAAGAUCCUUGAAAUACAAUGAGAAUUUAUUCAAACGGUGCAAAAAAAAAAAAAAAAAAAAACCAAAAAACCAAAAAAAAAAUCUGAUGUUCUUUCUAUCCAGAUUGCACUGUCACGCAGCCUUUUAAAACAAACCAAAAAAAAUUAAAGAUAGAAAAAUCAAAACAGAACAAAUUACAACAAAGAACAAAAAUCAGAUUAAAGUAACGCACAAAUUUGGUAAAAUGGUUCGCCAUUUACAUGCAACAGUUCCAGUCCCAUGCAGCUCGGAGGUAUUCCCCGUUGCCCCCAAAUAAAAGAUCAUAGAAAAAUAUAAUCGAGUCGACGGUGCUGCAAACUAAUGCGGAGCCAUUUCUCUUCUUGUUCUGAGGAAAUGAGCAGAGUCAAAAAAAAAAAAAAACUUCUUUAAUUGAAGCACGGACUGAUGGCUGCAGCAUCAAAAAUGAAACGUUCACAAAUUUAGAAAGCAACAAACAAAAGCCGGACUUCUAGACAAUUAGCCAGAAAGAACAUCCUAAAUGAUCUCAACUAAACUUCCUACAAGGAAACAAAUUCGAAAGAACAGAAAAAAAAUCUCACUAUAAAUAUAUAGAUAUAUUUAUUCUCAAAUUGUUUUGUCAGUAUUAAGGAAAUUUUUCUCAAUGAGAGGAGCCUCAAGUAUCAAAAAGGCCCAUGUGGGGGUUUCCUUCAACAGCCCAAACAUUUCCACCCCCAGAUCCAGGCUCUUUCCAAGCUUAUUCUCAGAACUGUGGAAGUUUCCAACAAAAUACAUUCUUACCCUUUUAAAAACACUGUAAAACUUUGGGCUUACAAAAAUAACUCGGAACAUAUUUAUACAACCUCACAAGCGCUUCUGUUUGUUGUCUUAAAUAUGUAAAAAUAAACAAAAAUA